CUCCAAGGUGACCGCGUUACCGCCAUGCAAGGUACUUCAUUGGAAGCUAAAAGGAAUACCAGCGCGUAUUUCUCGAAAUAGCGGACUAAAACUGGCACGUUACUGAAAAAUAAUGGAUUAUACUUGAAGCUGAUGAUGUUGUGACCAUAGGAUUGCAAGGAGAGAGGAAAGGACUGGAUACCACGGUAGCAAUGGGGGAAAAGUGAUGACAUAGAGUCACAUGACUUGAUGCCACAUCGCGGAGUGGACGCCUCAGAGACUUCUUACAGUACUUGAUAAAUUUUCGCACGGUGCACUAAAUAACCCAGGGCCAAAACACCAGACAAUACAACAAUGGGACCAACAAUACACAAUUGAUCGGCCAACGCAACUGUUAUAUUGCGUCAUAAUUCAUAACCAUGACGUAAUAAACAGACUACGUAAUGAUUGGUCGCAAUUCCUUUUAGGAUAAGUAAAACAUGUAUGCAGUUUUGUAGCCGAAAUAAAAAUAUUUUGAAA